rnacentral:rRNA from 1 species
AGGUCAAGUAGAAAAGGGCGCAUGGUGAAUGCCUAGGCACUAGAAGCCGAUGAAGGACGUGACGAACCACGAAAGGCUUCGGGGAGCAGUAAGUAAGCAAUGAUC